rnacentral:tRNA from 1 species
GGGCACAUGGUGUAGCUGGUUAUCACGCUCGCUUUGCAUCGUAGUUGCGAGUGGUCUCCGGUUCGAUUCCGGAUGUGUCCA